GUGGUUCUGGGAUGCACGGUACGCAGGCCGGCGGCAUGACCAACAGUCGGUUUGAUUUUGCCCCUGUCGCCCUGUGGUGAGCAAGCCCGCAUGUCAGGCGGGAAGCCUGAAGCAGGGCGCGGAGCAGAGGAUUCUCGGUCCGUAACAGGGAUCAUGCCUCAGGCGCAGCCGGCAUCCCGGACAAACC
rnacentral:other from 1 species